GAAUCUUAGGGAGUAUUUUGGGCCAGUGUUUCGGGUCUCACAUUUCAUUUCACUUUAAAUUGGAUUCUUACCGGUGAUUCGGUUCCGGUAUCGGUAAGUAUUCAUUAUUCACGUUAUCCAUUCAAGAGAGUUGAUUAAUAGAUUCCGGCGAAGUAUAGAGGAGACGGAGGGAUAAAGAAACCAUGAGUGUGUUUGGAGGAGAUAGCUGGGCGAGGGAAGCGCAAUGUAGGAAGAGAAGAGUCGAUGAAUUGAUGGUUGACAACAUCGAUUCUUCUGCUUAUAAGAAGCUCUCCAGCGGUAAAUUCGUCUGCAUCGUUUGCUCUCACCGUCCGGUCCUCGACACUCCCCUCAUGCUCUCUGUGAAGUAUGGAAAAUGAGGGAGGGGAUUGCAAAGUGGGGGAAUCUAAACCUCACCAACAACAAGCAAACAUACCGUCGUUCUCAACUCAAUCGCAACUCUAGCCAGUCUUCAUCACGUCAGAUUUCAGGGUACAUGUCAAAGGUUCAAGCCAUCGAGCAGAAGAGACAAGGCUUAGAGAAAGAGAAUUAGGGAGGCAAGAUGAGAUAAACAAGAGAAUAGCCUUGUCAGAAUGUGAUACUGCCACCUCGAAAACCUUGACAUCCAGCCAGUUAUGUAGAUCAGCAAGCAAACCAUUGAUUGGAUGCACAAGGAAAGCUGCUUCUUAUGUACUUCAUCAAAAUUUGGCACAAAGUAGUGCUUCUCAAGGGGAUGAGAUCAAAUGUACCAAGGUUGAUACUUCAAGUGUUCUAGCUAAUCAAAGAAGUAGUCAGUGUGUUCAGAUCGGAGUGACAACAAAUCAAACUAUCAUAUCUCAGGCAUACAACCAGGAACGACGAGAAAGGGAGCUUAAGUUCACAUCUGCUGGCUGGAAGCGUGAUGGCCAUGGGAAGUGGUUUAAGGAUGAAAAUGUAGAGUUUGAUUCAGAUGAAGAAGAUCCUAAUCUCUGCCUUCCAUGACUAUUGGUUGAAAACAAGUAUGAUUAAAACUUGAUCUUUUUCCUUUUGCAGUAUUACUUGAAUGGAUGCCAAAACUAACUCUGUUACAGGUGUCCAUCACUAUGUAUCACUUUCCAUGUAGGGAAUUGAUUACUAGUUCCAUUCAAGUUCAAGAUAAUCCAGAUGUAUUCCAAUGUCUGAAUGUCCCUGUUAUUCAUGGUUAUGAUUCUUGUGUUACAAUGGUUAUGUUGGACGUGAUUUCAAUUUAACAGGUGAGCGCGUCUCUGAACAUGAUGCUUUAAAUGCAUAGGAUUGAGCACUUGUGUGCUGGAAUACUGGUAGGUCAAGGGAAGGCCGCUACGGAUUUAUCAUUUAUAGCAAUAACUUUUUUUUUCACUUGAUCAUUUUAAAUUCAUUUAUAGUACAAUCUUAAUACAUAUUAUAAAGAACACUCUUAGCCUCGAGCGACAUUGCUUCUAAUGACACAUAACUAAUACCGAUAAAGACUUUAACACUAUUUAUUAAUGUCAAAAUACUUAUUGUCGCUAAAAGUUGUUUUUGUUGUAGUGAUUAUGGUUUUAUGUUCGGGUCGCUGCUAUAUAAGAAGCAAUCAUUUGUUACUUUGUGUACAAUGAAAGCCGAGUCUGUUGCUACGACUGCUUGUGCCUAUCAACGAUUUGGUUGAGGAGACUUGCGGAGGAGUUGAAAUUAAAGCAGCCAGUAGCUACCAGCAAGAUUUUUGUGAACGGUUAAGCAAUACAACUAUCCAAGAAUUCAGUAAUACAUGGAAGAAGCAAGCACAUUAAUGUGAAGUUAUAAUUUCUACGAGAUCUUAACAAUAAUGGUACAGUUGAUCUAAUUUAUUGUAUGAGUGAAGAUCGAGGGCUAAAUUUGCAACCGCUAUCAUAUCAAUGUGAACCACUGGAUUAUAUGGACUGAUCAAGUCAUGGCAAAAUGAGAAAGGAAAGAAGAAUUAUAUGGAAAGAAGCACCAAAUCAAUCGAACUAAUUAUAAUGCAUCUCUUCCUAACAUUUUUGAUGUUAGACUUCAGGUCUUGGAAACCCAAAUACUCGUGAAAGUGUUCAGAGUCUAUAGCUGAAGAUUUUGUUCUUCAUACAAAAUAAAUGUGUUGGUUUAUCCUUGAAACAUAACAAACCUCGUCAAACAGUAAAAUUAUAUUAUGAGAAAAAAGGAAUGCGAAAAUCACAAAUUU